rnacentral:lncRNA from 1 species
GAAAAUGCUCUCCAGCUCUUGCCCUGUCAAGAAUGGAUUAGAGGGAAACAAUACUGGGUGCAAGGAGAAUGUCAAGAAAACAGCAAAGUUCGUCUUAUUGAGGCAUCCAGUAAAGCUCCACAGAGAAAUCAUUCCCUCGUGUCUCUUCUGCACUCGGCCUUGGCAGGAUAAGAUGAAGAGGACGCAGUCCCUACCUCAGGCCUCCUCUCUUAGACCCUGGCCCAGCCUCCUCCACCAGGCUGUCCUCCAUCCUUCUCCUCAGGCCCCACCAGCUGCUGCUUGCUACAGCAUUCUCUUCAGGGAAGUCCUGAGGAUGCUGCCAGAAGAUACUGAACACCAAGGAGGGGACUCACUCACUGCCAACCACGACUUCCACAGAAAGCUUGGGAAUUGGGGAAUGGCAUGAUCAAAGCCUUGCUUUAUUAUGCAGAGCAAAUUUUUUUUUUUUGAGGGAGCAUUUGUGUGGAGAAUAGUGAGGAAGGGAACUAAGUGAUGAGAGCCUAAGUCAGAGCAAUGGCAGAAGAAAUUGAACAUAAUAGAACGGUUUAUGUUUGGUACCACACUUUGAAGGGUAAUGUAUGUUAUUUGUUCUUUAUCAUAGUCAACAACAAAUCUAGAUUUGCUUUAUGCACAGGAAGUAUUUAAUAUUAGUUAGGUUUAAUUUGAUUCAAUGCAUUUUAAGUUAACCAAUGAGCCCUAUUGAACUCAUAAGGAAACUAAAGCCGAGUAAGGUUAACUGACUUGCCCACAGUUAAAGGGUUGGAAAGUUUUGGAGCCAAGGGUGAAACCCAGGUCUCCUUAAUUCAAAAUCCAAGGCUUCAAUCAUGACACCAGUUGCCACAAAUCUGUGGCAUAUAUGGUGAUUCUAUUUCUUUGCCACCACAGACAUUGCUAAUCGAUUUCCUACGCAAGCUUGGAUAUGGCCUCAGAAUCCUUCCAAACACAGGGCUCCAGAGACCCACCUCAAAUCAACUUUUCUGUAUCCUGGCAGGAUAGCAUGCUCUCUCUCCAAGAUAAAGGAAGGAAAAUGGUAGAGGUGAUUUGCGGGCAGAAGCAUUAUCACUUGGCAGCUGUGGGCGUAGAUUGUGAGAAAGAGAAAAGGGUAGGCAUCAGGAAUGAUGAAGGAUGUAAGCCUGGGGGAUGAGGGGGAUGGUGACACUAAUUAACAGAAUAAUGGAACUGGAACAGAAGCAGAGCUGUAACAUGGUGAAUGUGGUCUUGAGGUGUUGUCCAGUUCUUAAGGCGGUGGGGGGUGCUGUGACAAUGACAGGUGAAGGCUGCUGCUUAUGGAAAGACACAGGCAGGGCCUCCUAACACUUCUAGCAAUUUCAGCCCCCGAAACAGUGACAACUGUGGAUCCUAAAGGCAUAUGUCCAAAAGAUGCUGGCCAAACAUUUCAGAAAAGAUGAAAUAAGGAGGUCUCAAAGUCCUGCUUUUCAAGACACUGCUAGGAAUCUUUUUGCAAAGCAAGAAAAUUCUUUUAUCAUUCAAACAAUUAAAUAAUAAUUAAAAUAAUUAAAUAUAAAUAAUUAAAAUUAAAAUUUUCAUACACCAGGUUUCAUUUCAGUGGGAAGAAUGGGGCAGGGAAAGAAAAUGGCUCUUCAGCAGCCUUCUCAGUGACAAUUAUAAACAAUUUCUGUAAAACUUCACACCCUAAAUGAAGCACCAAACCUGAAGUGCUUAAUCAAAACAAGAUGUUUUGAUUGAAAGAAAGCUUUGAUGAGUUGCUUCUAUCAAUUGCCCUUCAGCAUAAGAUUAGAAAUGCAAAGGCUUCUAUCAUCCCCAUGAUGUUCUUUAAACUUCAUUAUGUCAGGCACACAUGGCAAAUUAAACAGAAUGCUACAGAAAGUGUCUGGCCAUAAGAGGAGGCAGAGGCACUGCUUACAGAAACCUUGCUAGACAACUAAUUGAACAGUUUUCUAACCUCAGAACAGACGUGCUUUCUAUUAUUUAGCAUUUAAUAUGCUUCCUCUCUCUCUCUCAUUUCUUUUUACCUUUAGCUUGUUUCUUCCUAUUUCAUUGCCAUCUACUUUAUAAAUGUCUUGAUCAAAUUAUAAAGUUAUAACAUUAUACAGAUUCUAUUUGGUCCCAUAUGGCUAAUGUCAACCAGAGAGCCUUUAAUAUUUUCUAAGGAACAGGAUAUCAUAUUUAAUGCCCUCAAAACUAAUUUCAAGCUAAAAAAUGUUGAAGGCUAUACAUACACACACACACACACACGAAUGUUCUACAACAAGACUAUCCACCCCCUCCAAAGUCAAGCUUUGAUAUAUGCCCUAACAAAAUAAAAAAAAAAUUCAAAUAUGCUUUACAACAAACUACUAAAAACCACAGACCAACAUAAUUUCUUUAGAAGCAUAAAGUCACUUGUGAUCCAUAUGCCAAAAGCAUAACAAAAUGCAAAAAAAGCCCUUAAGUUCAUUGAUUGACCUAACAAUAUCAAUUUUUCUCUACACUUCAGUGAAUUAUAUACAUGAAAGAAUAUUUCGAUCUUAGGAAUUCUUCAUCUGGUUAGUUUUGUUUCCAGUGAAGCAAACAUCAAACAGGGUCUUAUAUGUUUAUGGAUAGGUACAAAUCCAUGGAAAAGAUUCCAAUUACUUUUUUUUUUUUAAAGUUUAAAGCUGUGUGUUAUGUGCAGAGGGGGUAGUACAAAGAGCUAUGGAUAUUCUAAACCAAAUAUUAAAACAGCAUUUCAAGCAGCUCAAAGUAUCAUACAACAUUUUCAGUAGUAAGGAAAUUUCACUCAGCAGCAAUAUUUUUAAUAGAAAAACUUUUUUGUUUUUGAGACAGAGUCUGACUUUGUUGCCCAGGCUG